rfam:Triticum aestivum genome assembly, contig: Triticum_aestivum_CS42_TGACv1_scaffold_363846_4DS
AAAGUACUCCCUCCGUCCCAAAAUUCUUGUCUUAGAUUUGUCUAGUUAAGGAUGUAUCAAGUCACAUUUUAGUAUUAGAUACAUCCGUAUCUAGACAAAUCUAAGACAAGAAAUUUGGGACAGAGGGAGUACUUG